UUCAUUACCAAGCCUUUGUAUUUCCAUAGUCUACCCAGUUAUAGAUCUUGUUUACAUGUUUUGCCUUAAGUCUUGCCUAGUUCACAUUGUUUGAUAUCGCUUGACCUCUGCCUGUUUUUUUUUUUUUUUUUUUUUACUGUACUCCUGCCUUACGUUUUGGAAUUGUCUGCCUGUGUCUUCAGUAAAGCUGCUGUUUACCUGCACUUGCAUCCUCUUCUGCCUCGUGACACCCACUUAGGGCAGAUUUUCCUCCAGCAUGUGAUGCCACCCUGGCUAGUGUACUGGCCCAAUGAUGUCUCCAAGAAGAAGAGGGGUAUGCCACAGGAAAAUAGGAACAGUCACUACAUGUCUUACCACAAAACCGAGUAUACAACUUCACCCACCACCUCAUGCAGCCCCUGUCCUAGGGAAACAGCACCACAUACAAUAAGGAAACCUCCACACAUUUCCCAGACCAACGAUAUGUCCUGCAACAGCCAGAAAAAAAUCCAUCUUACUGGCCCACUGUUCUC